rnacentral:rRNA from 1 species
AGUGAACGCUGGCGGUAGGCCUAACACAUGCAAGUCGAGCGGCAGCACAGUAAGAGCUUGCUCUUACGGGUGGCGAGUGGCGGACGGGUGAGGAAUACAUCGGAAUCUACUUUUUCGUGGGGGAUAACGUAGGGAAACUUACGCUAAUACCGCAUACGACCUACGGGUGAAAGCAGGGGAUCUUCGGACCUUGCGCGAUUGAAUGAGCCGAUGUCGGAUUAGCUAGUUGGCGGGGUAAAGGCCCACCAAGGCGACGAUCCGUAGCUGGUCUGAGAGGAUGAUCAGCCACACUGGAACUGAGACACGGUCCAGACUCCUACGGGAGGCAGCAGUGGGGAAUAUUGGACAAUGGGCGCAAGCCUGAUCCAGCCAUACCGCGUGGGUGGAGAAGGCCUUCGGGUUGUAAAGCCCUUUUGUUGGGAAAGAAAAGCAGCAGGUUAAUACCCCGCUGUUCUGACGGUACCCAAAGAAUAAGCACCGGCUAACUUCGUG